AAAAAAAAAUGAAACGCGUGAGAUUCAAUUAGGACAAUAUGCUGUGCUAAUAAAGUGGAACACGAGAUUUCACAAUGUGACAACCUUAUUUGGAAAUGUGGUCUUCUGUACACCUGGAUUUUAUUUUAUCAUCACGGAUGUGCACUACAGACACAUUAAUGAACCAACACAUUUAUUGUGAAAAUACUGAUUUUGCUUUGACAGUGAAAACAUAUGCAUCGCUUUACAGAGCUAACCGAAGCAGUUCGCACUCAAUACAUCAACGUUACAGCUCAUGAAAAACAUGUUAUAGAUUACAUUUAGACUGUGUUUAUCAAGAAGAUGGCUGAGAACAUCAUAAACCAGGCUGCUGGUCUUUAUCAUAUAGCCAUAGGCAUUCUUGAAAACCAUAAUGGUUUAAGAAACAGUGGCCAGUCCAAUGGCUUCAUUUACAAAGAACCACCAGACAGCAACUUUCAAAGAUGGCGCCCUCUGCUUGGCCUUAAACUGCUAUGGAUAUAGUCAUUGUGCAAACAGCCUUACUAGACUGUUCUAUUACUCUGCAGUCCAUAGGGAAACUCGAUUCCAUAAAGAUACUACAAACACAUACAUAUUUUUUUUUUCACAUUCAUAAUAUAGCAGAGACCCUGUUAAAAUGUUGUGCUGAACUUGACACAAGGAUCAUUUGUAAGGACUUUCCAAAGAUCACCUUUGCGCCAAUCACACAAUGGGUGCUCGGUGAUGAGCACUGAAUUGUUUCCCUGAAAAAAAUAAAAAAUAAAAACCUGUUCAUAUGAAAUAUGUAAACUAUGAAAGCAUAUAGGCUGUUUCAGAGGGACUCUGAAAAUAUUCCCAGAAUACAUUGCUUCCUGUUUAAUGGCUUCCUUUAGAAAAUGAGAAAGUGCGGUGGCAUAUACAAUGAAUGCUUUAUGCUUAAAUACAUGUUAUAGCAACACAGUGGCAACUAGCAGGUUUAGGUCUCAUUGGAAUGUUGGGUGAUUAAAAAGGUUGUGAUGGACUGUAUUAAUUGAAAUACGGAUGAGAAUAAAAGGAAGGUACAGAUGAUAAAAUAUACAUGUCUAUCUUCAUAUGCUCUCAAAUUAAUAAUAAGCACAAUUAAUAUUGCUAAAAUUUGUGACAAAACAAUAUAACACAUGUAUUGUAUUGCAAACAUGCCAAAUUAGAAUUGAGUUUAAAAAACAACACUUUCUGGGAUUAAAAAAGAAUGUGUACCAAAAUGUAUUUAUUAAACCUACAUUUAGAAUGUUCUUUUCCUGGCUAUUAUUCAUGGCAGCAUAUACACAUGGGUUAGCUCCUCCCCUACAGCCGAUAGGACAGGAAAACCACCAAGGUUUUAAAAGGAGGCUCCAUCCCUAAGGUCCUCAGUCUUUUUCCUGUCCUACAGCCCUUAGGACGUGAGCAAUUUGCUCCCUUUACUUACGGACAUAUAUGUUGUUUUAUUUUCAUUACUUUAUUUGCUGUUUUACUGUAGUACAUUAUGCAGUUGUGCUUUAUGCUGUGAUGCAUUUAAGCUUUGAUAUCCUUGGCCCCUUAAGGACCAAACUUGUGGAAUAAAAGGGAACCAUGACAUGUCACACAUGUCAUGUGUCCUUAAGGGGUUAAAUUAGUGCAUUGUACAGCUGUACCUUAUUUUUAAGAUUGUGGUAAAUUAUGCAGUUGUGCUUUUGCUAGGAAGCAUUUAAGCUGUGUUGCAUUUAAGCUGUGUGGCAUUUAAAACUGUUUCAUUUAAAUUUGCAUUUAAUACUGUUGCAUGUAAUACCGCAAGUCAUUGGAAACUGCAGUGCAUUUGAAGACUGAUAUAUUUUAAAAACUGUUACAUUUUGGAAACUGUUAGAUUUGAAAACUGUUACCUUUCAUACCUUGAGGCCUUUAGACUGUGGUGCCUUUAAACUUUGACUGUUUGCACAUGGUUGCCAUUUAAACUUCCUUGCAGGCACGUUUGUUAUCUAUGUUGCUUCCCCCUCGGUCCCAGUGAUUUAUUCCCGGUUCCUUGGGUGUUUAGGGGCCAUGUAGGCUUCAGAUAGAGUCCUCUCCCUGGUCUCUAAACAGCAAACACACUUGGAAUAGGCCCACAUGUGUGCAGUUUGGGCCUUAUUGGGCCUAAUACAGAUGACUUGCAUUGUGGGAAUACAAGUUGAGGCAGCCAUCUUGGAUAAGGGCAAUUGCCAGAAAGUGCCUAAAAUAAAGGGGAAAUUACAGUAAACAUACCACACUUAUUUGGUAAGUAUUUGCAGGGUCUCCAGACAUGGAUAAGUGCUGUCUUUAGCCUGUUUUAAAGCGGUUUCGCUGGUUUCUUAUAGAAUUUUUAACAGUGCACCUUUUUUCUUAAUACUUUACCACAGGUAAUAUUUAGUUAUUAUUAUUUGUCAGGUGUCUGAUUCUUCACCAGGAUCUGGUUAUCAGGAGAAAACAGUGGAUGGAAUCGGUUAUGCACUGACUUCCUCCAGAAGGUUGUCGCUUCAGCGUGACCUAUCACUGUGCAGCCACAUGACAUGCGGGCAGGGAUUACAAAGUAAGUUCCAGAGGCCUUAGGGGUAAGAAAAGAGGCCAGGCUUUAACCUGUGGAGGAAGUUAUUUCCAACCCCAGAACUACAUCACCUAAGUUGCACACUUAUGGAUCAUAGGUGGACGCAGACCUGUCCAAAACUUUAUGCCUACCAUUGCAGCAGGCCAGCCAGCUGUGAUUUCCGCUGCUGUUUCUACAAACAUGAAAUAUGUGAUUAAAGAUCUAAAGGCUACUAUGGAGAGAGAUAUUAAAAGCCAAGAUUGAAGAGGCAGUCUGAAGUCUUCAGGUUACAACUGACUUCUUCACAGAAACUUCCCUAGAUGUAACUAGGAUAUUCUCUGGAUCAAAUGGCUUUAUCUAUAGCAGUUAAGAAAGCAUUAUGGUUCUGUUUCUGGGAUGAUGACUCAUCCUCCAAGUCUGCCCUCUACACCAUUCUAUUUGAAGGGGUGGUGCUGUUUGUGAAAAAUUUUGAUAAUUCCAUUGAAAAGGAGAAUGAGGGCUGCAAGAUAUUGGUACCUUAGGAUGGAAGUUCCAAGGAUCCCAGUUCCUCAUAGUCUGACCGGAGAACAUCCAGUGACCAGUAUUUCUGAGAUACAGGGAGCUACUGGCACUGCAGGGAAU